GAGAGAAGAGACUCACAAAUUUUGCCGCUUGGAGGUAAGUAAAUCAUGAAUCGUUGCAGAUUGCUGGCCGCACCCACUAGUGCCUCCAUUAACGCUACCUGCCCAACCACCAAGGGAAAGCCGAAAGCGAGAAUUAGAAACCCAAAUCCCCAAUUCGAAACCCUAACCCCAAAAACGCAAAGAAAAUACUUAACUCCGUGCAGACGCGCCUAACCUAGGCUCUAAAUACCACUUGAUAGCUUCAGGUCGAGGCGGAUCGACGAGGAACCAUGGAAACUAGCACAGAUCGAGCUAAUCAAAGAAGAAGAACAACAGAUGACGGACAAUAGAGGCAAACCCUGGAUUGAAUGGUUUGAUCGGUGAACAUUCUAGGGUUGGGGAUUUGGGAUGUUUUGAUCGAUGGAGAGAAAGGAUUCAACGAUUGAAUCGAUAAAAUGGAACAAAAGAGGUUUUAAUCCGGCAAAAGUGAAGAUUUAAUCGAUGAAAAAUGGAUUCUAUGGUGGAUUAGGCUGAGGUAAGGGAGAAAUGUAUAGGAGAAUGAAGAUCUAGAUACUAACCGUGGCUGGCGGAUUAAGAUCUGAGGCGAAGGAGCUCGAAAUAUGGAUCGGAGAUGAGCGAAGGAUCGGAAAUGAGCGAAGGAUCGAAGAAAAAGAAAUGUGUGCGGGUGGAUCUCUCCAUAGAAUGGCUUAAUAAGAUGUGGUUCGCAUAUGAGGAAGCAUCGCAGGCAUUACGACAAAAGGCCCUCGGAAAUAUCUAGAGAAUAACUCAACGAAGAUGUGGUGCGCAUAUGAAGAGGCAUAGCAGACAUUACCAAAGGGCAUAGGGCCCUCGGAAAUAAGCCUUCGGAAAUAAGCACUUUUACUAGGAAUUUAUGAACUGAAUAAAGUUGACAGAAAAGAGGGCUUUCGAAAGAAAAUUUGGGAUUUGGAAUUCGAAGACUGGACAAACAACUUUGGUAAUUCCAAAUCUCAUACGAAACCUCUUUCUCGGGCUAUUUAGAUUUGUUCAAUAUUGUUGGGCAACCCUUGAAAUUUCUAGAAUC
rnacentral:lncRNA from 1 species